rnacentral:rRNA from 1 species
AUUGAACGCUGGUGGCAGGCCUAACACAUGCAAGUCGAACGAGUGGCGGACGGGUGAGUAAUGUCUGGGAAACUGCAUGAUGGAGGGGGAUAACUACUGGAAACGGUAGCUAAUACCGCAUACCAUCGGACGUGCCCAGAGGGGAUUAGGUAGUAGGUGGGGGAAAGGCUCACCUAGGCGACGAGCGCUAGCUGGUCUGAGAGGAUGACCAGCCAUACGAGAACUGAGGCACGGUCCUGACUCCUACGCGAGGCAGCAGUGGGGCACAUUGCACGCGUGGCGCAGUCCUGGUGCAGUCAUGCCGGGUGUAUGAAGAAGUCCUUCGGGUUGUGCAGUACUUUCAGCGGGUGGUCGUAGCCCGCAGAAGAAGCACCAGCUGACUCCGUGCCAGCGGACGCGGUAAUUC